rfam:Fusarium oxysporum Fo5176 contig02102, whole genome shotgun sequence.
GCCCGGUUAGCUCAAUCGGUAGAGCGUGAGACUCUUAAGAGUUCACAAUCUCAAGGUUGCGGGUUCGACCCCCGCAUCGGGCU